rnacentral:rRNA from 1 species
ACGUGACUAACCUACCUCCGAAUGGGGAAUAACAUCGGGAAACCGAUGCUAAUACCGCAUAACAUCUACGGAUCAAAGCAGCAAUGCGUUUGGAGAGGGGGUCGCGGCUGAUUAGCUAGUUGGUAAGGUAAUGGCUUACCAAGGCGACGAUCAGUAUCCGGCCUGAGAGGGCGCACGGACACACUGGAACUGAAACACGGUCCAGACUCCUACGGGAGGCAGCAGUGGGGAAUUUUGCGCAAUGGGGGAAACCCUGACGCAGCAACGCCGCGUGGAGGAUGAAGGUCUUUGGAUUGUAAA